GGGUCAUACAGGAUUUAAAUAUACUUGGUAGUAAAAGUGCAAAAGAAUUUGUUGAAGGUUUCGGAUUUCAACUAUAUGAAGUUGGACUAAUUCCAGAGAAUGCAGAGUUUCUUAAGGAUACCAAUACAACCUUUGGAGACAGGAAAGAACGUCAGUUGGUAUCCAUGGAUUGUGCAAAUGGCGCUGACGCAGUAAUUAAAUACGGCUAUACUCACACCCAAGGUUGCGAUUGGUUAUAUGUUUGCGAUGGUAAUUGUGGUGAUGGAUGUUGAUGGAGAAUAACGCUAUGUAAAAGUAAGAAUGUCUCCCGCAAUGUGAUAAGCCGUGCAUCUGAAGCAGACUUCAGAUAUUUCAGGUUUACCACAUUCUGAAGAAAGUUGUGCAAAAUAGCAGAAUGAAACAAGCAGAAUGAAACAGAUGACUGACCGUUAUAAUCAUUCAACUAACCAGUUGUCGGGUGAACUUUCAAUAUGUAUGCAGUAAGUUGUGUUAAAUCUCAUAUUUCACACUGGAUGCUGAUUUUCUUCAAUGUUGUUACAUAGCUGACUGUAAAUUAUUUCACAAGCCACGAUUGAUAUCAGACACAAGAAUGAACGAAUUAGAGAAACGAUUGAUUAAACGACUGCUUAAAAAUGCAGUAUACAAAAUAGAAACUAAUGUAACAUUGACAAAGUUCAUGCAGGUAGUGAAAAUAAAGUUGUUUUUUUCAUGUCGUUUUCAUAUGUUCUCGUAUAAUUUUAUGUUUAACCAUCAAUAAAAUGUACAUUUA